AUUGAACGCUGGCGGCAUGCCUCACACAUGUAAGUCGAACGGUAACAGGUCUUCGGAUGCUGACGAGUGGCGAACGGGUGAGUAAUACAUCGGAACGUGCCUAGUAGUGGGGGAUAACUACUCGAAAGAGUGGCUAAUACCGCAUGAGAUCUACGGAUGAAAGCAGGGGAUCGCAAGACCUUGUGCCACUAGAGCGGCCGAUGGCAGAUUAGGUAGUUGGUGGGAUAAAAGCUUACCAAGCCGACGAUCUGUAGCUGGUCUGAGAGGACGAUCAGCCACACUGGGACUGAGACACGGCCCAGACUCCUACGGGAGGCAGCAGUGGGGAAUUUUGGACAAUGGGCGAAAGCCUGAACCAGCAAUGCCGCGUGCAGGAUGAAGGCCUUCGGGUUGUAAACUGCUUUUGUACGGAACGAAAAGCCCCGGGUUAAUACCCUGGGGUCAUGACGGUACCGUAAGAAUAAGCACCGGCUAACUACGUGCCAGCCGCCGCCGUAA
rnacentral:rRNA from 1 species